CAGCCGCCGCGGUAAUACGAAGGGUGCAAGCGUUACUCGGAAUUACUGGGCGUAAAGCGUGCGUAGGUGGUGGUUUAAGUCCGUUGUGAAAGCCCUGGGCUCAACCUGGGAAUUGCAGUGGAUACUGGGUCACUAGAGUGUGGUAGAGGAUAGUGGAAUUUCCGGUGUAGCAGUGAAAUGCGUAGAGAUCGGAAGGAACAUCUGUGGCGAAGGCGACUAUCUGGGCCAACACUGACACUGAGGCACGAAAGCGUAGGGAGCAAACAGGAUUAGAUACCCCUGUAGUCCCUGUCUCUUAUAC
rnacentral:rRNA from 1 species